AGCCAGUGUGGCCUAGUAGUUUGAGUUUUCAACUAGGGCUCCAGGAGACCAGGGUUCAAAUCCCUGCUUGGUUA